AGUGAACGCUGGCGGUAGGCCUAACACAUGCAAGUCGAACGGCAGCACAGUAAGAGCUUGCUCUUACGGGUGGCGAGUGGCGGACGGGUGAGGAAUACAUCGGAAUCUACUUUUUCGUGGGGGAUAACGUAGGGAAACUUACGCUAAUACCGCAUACGACCUACGGGUGAAAGCAUGGGAUCUUCGGACCUUGCGCGAUUGAAUGAGCCGAUGUCGGAUUAGCUAGUUGGCGGGGUAAAGGCCCACCAAGGCGACGAUCCGUAGCUGGUCUGAGAGGAUGAUCAGCCACACUGGAAAUGAGAAACGGUCCAGACUCCUACGGGAGGCAGAAGUGGGGAAUAUUGGACAAUGGGCGCAAGCCUGAUCCAGCCAUACCGCGUGGGUGAAGAAGGCCUUCGGGUUGUAAAGCCCUUUUGUUGGGAAAGAAAAGCAGCAGGUUAAUACCCCGCUGUUCUGACGGUACCCAAAGAGUAAGCACCGGCUAACUUCGUG
rnacentral:rRNA from 1 species